UAAGGUUUCACAUAUGUAAGAAUGAGUAGAAUCGGGGUCAAUCAAAGAAAUUACAUUAGUAUCAAAGAGAGUAAAAGUACCGGUAAUAACAUCAGGCGAAGGAGCAUCCUCGCGGGCACGUAUAGCAUAAGCUCUAGCAGGCGCACAAGCCUCGGAUCUGGUCGUAGCAUCUCUAGAUCCUCUCUGACCACCACUAGCAUUGCCCGUUUUUCCAGAUGGUCUACCUCGAGCAGUGGUAGCACCCGGUUUCCCACUCUGAUUUACAUUCUGUUCAGACAACCUCGGGCAAUCUUUAAUGAAGUGGUCAACUGAUCCGCACUUGUAACAGGAGCGGUCAGGGAAUCUACAACUCCCC
rnacentral:lncRNA from 1 species